AUGAACGCUGACAGAAUGCUUAACACAUGCAAGUCUUUGGCGAAGCUGUGCUUGCACAGCCUCGCCAAGGCGGACGGGUGAGUAACGCGUAAGGAACUUGCCCUGCAGUCAGGGAUAACAGACGGAAACGACUGAUAAGACCUGGUAAAGUCAGGCGGACUCAUGUCCAGCCUGAUGAAAAGAGAUGCUGCAGGAGAGCCUUGCGUCCUAUUAGCUUGUUGGUGGGGUAACGGCCCACCAAGGCGAUGAUAGGUAGCCGGCCUGAGAGGGUGGACGGCCACAAGGGGACUGAGAUACGGCCCUUACUCCUACGGGAGGCAGCAGUGGGGAAUAUUGGACAAUGGGGGCAACCCUGAUCCAGCAAUUCUGUGUGCACGAUGAAGGUUUUCGGAUUGUAAAGUGCUUUCAGCAGGGAAGAAAAAAAUGACGGUACCUGCAGAAGAAGCGACGGCUAAAUACGUG
rnacentral:rRNA from 1 species